GGAGGUUUAUGGCAGGGCCAGAAGCAGAAGCAAAGGCCCCUCACCUGCCUGUGCCUUUGAGGACACAGAAAGGGGACAGACUUGCUGGGUUCCCACCACACAUGUUGUCGUGAGCUCACUACACACCCUGUCCCUGGAGCAUUGGGAUGCAGCCUGGAGCCAGGAAGAUGACAGUGUUGUGCACAGCUCUGCACUGGUAAUGCACUAUGCAUGAGUCGCCCUCAGGACCUUGUGUUACUGCUGCUGGUUGGCUGGCCAGGCACUGCUGGAUACAGCAAGGGCACUGGCGAUAGCAGGCAGCAGCUUCAGUCCACACCUGCCAACUUCAGCCUAGCCAAGGGCACCCACAUCAGCACGUCCACAGCCUGAGGUCCCCUGGGUUCCACCAAGGACCUCUAAUGCAAGCUGAUAUGGGGCCCUGUGGCCAGCAGGGACCCCUACUAGACCAUCCAGACUUUGCACUAUAAAUCUUACUCAAGGCACCAUACCUGCUGAUAACAGGACCUUAAAGAAGUUAAGAUAUGCAACACUCCAACCAUAAAUCUUCCCCAAGGCAGUUGACCCUAACAUCCACAUGCACAGGAAACCCCAGAAUGGCCACUAUAUGACCUUCCUGGGCCAGCAGUAGUGAGCAACACCACUAUCUUGAACCCACUGAGCAUGGACCAAGACUUCAACCAGGACCAAGCAUGCACAGACACCAUAACAGGAAGGAAGAAAUCACUCCAGGAGGCAGAGGUUCCUGAUGUCAAUCUCUGUACCCUACCCAAUAAAAAACGCUGAGAAGCUCCCCUUGGGGAGCCAGCUGGAGGACUCUUUUUCCUGUGCCAUCUCCCUUAUGCCCAGUGUUUCUGGGCAUAAGUCUUAAUAAACAUUGCCUGGGAAAAGUUUGCCUGGCCUCAUGUUAAUUCCUGUUACCCUGAGAACCAAGAACCUCCCACUGGUAACACCAUCUCCUAAUAAAGUCACAAUGGCAAUCAAUCAAAUUUCAACAUGCAUUUUGGAGGGGGCAAACAUUCUAACCAUGGCAGCAUAUUUCACAUGUACAUUUCUAAAUACAAAUAUAAUGAUCCCACU
rnacentral:lncRNA from 1 species